AACAGCAACUGACGGAGAGAGAUGGUGAUUCAAAAAACUUUUAGUAGGCAAGUAAAAGUUACACAUAAUGAUCAGUUUUUAAUUUUAUUUAAUUUGUAAAUGGUUUUAGAAUUUUUUUUGCUAUCAAAUUGAUAAUAAUUUAAGAUGACACAAUGUCAUCAUGGGUGUUAGCAAAAUUUCAUUAACAUGCUGUCAAACACCUUCUUGAUAUCUAUAAAUUUUAUAAAUGAGUGUUUUUUUCUCAAACAAAUUUUUGUUUUUUUGGCUUAAAUAUAAAGAGGGAGUGAGUUCAUUUAUUAUUAUUAUUAUUUUGUUUCUCAAUGAAUUUAAGACUUGCCUAAAAAUGUUCAGAAAUUUGCAAUUUAAACUUAUUCGAAGCUCAUUGCAGUUCUUUAGUUUUUUUUCAUGUCCACUGAGAUUUAGUGUUUCUAUAAUAAUGUUCUAGUAAAUAAGUAGUAGCUCUCUUUUUCUAGAAAAUGCAAAGAAUGAAAAAUUUGGUAGUUUGAACAACCAAUGAUUUAUGCUUCAAUAAAAAACUGAGAAAAAGGCCAGGCGUUCUCUCGUUGCUGGUUUUCAAGUUCGUACCUAUAUAUAUAAAUAAUGCAUUUAUUUAGUUUUCUUAAUACAGACUCCCUGUGAUUCAUUUUUUGAUUAUUGGUUAGAUCUUAGCAUAUAUGUGCAUUGUUUUUUUUAAUAUUUAUUUUCAUAUAUAUAUAUAUAUAUAUAUAUAUAUGAUAAAUAAAUGAAAAUAAAGCAUUUAUGCAUCUUGGGCAGAGCUUUGUUCCCCUAACUGAAAUGAAUUUUUUAUGGAGUUUUUGUAAUCCGUAUGUGAACUAAGAUGUUGGUCCAACUGUACAUGAAUGUCAAUACAUAUUUAUGCCGGUGUGUAGUACAAAUCAAAGCCAUUUUGUCUUGUUCCUAUUCUCAAUUGAAGAUUGGAUGGUUACGAUAAUUGACCCGUACUACAAUGAUACCAAGUAUAUGAAAUUACAGAAAAUAUACUUAGAAUUCGUUAAAGUUGCGGUAUGUGUAGUUUUAAAAUAUUUUACUUUUAUAAUGUCCUUUAAUAUUAAAAAAUUAUUAACCAACUACUUUGUACAUGCAGGUACAUUUGAUACCAUUUUGUUUGCAAAAUGAUAAUCCGAUGCGUGAGUGGCCCAUCGGUAAUCUUAUUGUGCAGACAACAAAGAUUCGAUCAAAAUAACACAACUCAGACUGUGGCAUUUUUGUAUGCAAGUAUGUUGACGGUUUCGUUAGGGCCAAUGAUAAUAUUUGUCAAGAGAAGUAGUCCUUGGAAGAUGUUACUGUCUUUCGUUACCGUAUCGCAUGGGAGCUCUACAAGAAAUUCGUAAGAUUAGUUUGAGUCUCUGAGAUAUAUAACUUGUCCAGCGUUAUCUAAUGUACAUAUUAAUUAAUAAGAAUAUUCGAUGCGUGAGUGGCCUAUCGGUAAUCUUACUGUGCAGACCACAAAGAUUCGACCAAAAUAACACAACUCAGACUGUGGCAUUUUUGUAUGUAAGUAUGUUGACGGUUUCGUUAGGGCCAAUGGUAAUAUUUGCCAAGAGAAGUGGUCCUUGAAAGAUGUCACUGUCUUUCGUUACUGCAUCACAUGGGAGUUCUACAAGAAAUUCGUAAGAUUAUUUUCGGCCUCUGAGAUAUAGAACUUGUUCAGCUUUAUCUAAUGUACAUAUUAAUUAAUAAGAAUAUCUAUU
rnacentral:lncRNA from 1 species